GGAGAGGUACCGAAGUGGUCAUAACGGGCUCGCCUGGAGAGCGAGUUGGGGGCAAAACUCCCACGUGGGUUCGAAUCCCACCCUCUCCGCCA
rnacentral:tRNA from 1 species